rnacentral:tRNA from 2 species
GGCCGCCUGGCGAAAUGGCAUCGCGUCUGACUACGAUUAUGACGCGAUCAGGAGAUUGCAGGUUCGACCCCUGCGGUGGUCA